rnacentral:rRNA from 1 species
UAGGGAAUCUUCGGCAAUGGACGGAAGUCUGACCGAGCAACGCCGCGUGAGUGAAGAAGGCUUUCGGAUCGUAAAGCUCUGUUGUAAGAGAAGAACGAGUGUGAGAGUGGAAAGUUCACACUGUGACGGUAUCUUACCAGAAAGGGACGGCUAACUACGUGCCAGCAGCCGCGGUAAUACGUAGGUCCCGAGCGUUGUCCGGAUUUAUUGGGCGUAAAGCGAGCGCAGGCGGUUAGAUAAGUCUGAAGUUAAAGGCUGUGGCUUAACCAUAGUACGCUUUGGAAACUGUUUAACUUGAGUGCAAGAGGGGAGAGUGGAAUUCCAUGUGUAGCGGUGAAAUGCGUAGAUAUAUGGAGGAACACCGGUGGCGAAAGCGGCUCUCUGGCUUGUAACUGACGCUGAGGCUCGAAAGCGUGGGGAGCAAACAGGAUUAGAUACCCUGGUAGUCCACGCCGUAAACGAUGAGUGCUAGGUGUUAGACCCUUUCCGGGGUUUAGUGCCGUAGCUAACGCAUUAAGCACUCCGCCUGGGGAGUACGACCGCAAGGUU